CCCUUAGAUGUUCUGGGCUGCACGCGCGCUACACUGAAGCGUUCAACGAGUAUUCACCUUGCCCGGGAGGGUUGGGUAAUCUUUUGAAAACGCUUCGUGAUGGGGAUAGAUUAUUGCAAUUAUUAAUCUUCAACGAGGAAUUCCUAGUAAGCGCGAGUCAUCAGCUCGUGCUGAUUACGUCCCUGCCCUUUGUACACACCGCCCGUCGCUACUACCGAUUGAAUGGUUUAGUGAGAACUCGGGACUGGCACUAAGGGGCUGGCAACAGCCUAUUAGAGCCGGGAACUUGCUCAAACUUGAUCAUUUAGAGGAAGUAAAAGUCGUAACA
rnacentral:rRNA from 1 species